GGGUUGUGAGGUUAAGCGACUAAGCGUACACGGUGGAUGCCCUGGCAGUCAGAGGCGAUGAAGGACGUGCUAAUCUGCGAUAAGCGUCGGUGAGGUGAUAUGAACCGUUAUAACCGGCGAUUUCCGAAUGGGGAAACCCAGUGUGUUUCGACACACUAUCAUUAACUGAAUCCAUAGGUUAAUGAGGCGAACCGGGGGAACUGAAACAUCUAAGUACCCCGAGGAAAAGAAAUCAACCGAGAUUCCCCCAGUAGCGGCGAGCGAACGGGGAGGAGCCCAGAGCCUGAAUCAGUGUGUGUGUUAGUGGAAGCGUCUGGAAAGGCGCGCGAUACAGGGUGACAGCCCCGUACACAAAAAUGCACAUAUUGUGAGCUCGAUGAGUAGGGCGGGACACGUGGUAUCCUGUCUGAAUAUGGGGGGACCAUCCUCCAAGGCUAAAUACUCCUGACUGACCGAUAGUGAACCAGUACCGUGAGGGAAAGGCGAAAAGAACCCCGGCGAGGGGAGUGAAAAAGAACCUGAAACCGUGUACGUACAAGCAGUGGGAGCCUCUUAAUGGGGUGACUGCGUACCUUUUGUAUAAUGGGUCAGCGACUUAUAUUCUGUAGCAAGGUUAACCGAAUAGGGGAGCCGAAGGGAAACCGAGUCUUAACUGGGCGUUAAGUUGCAGGGUAUAGACCCGAAACCCGGUGAUCUAGCCAUGGGCAGGUUGAAGGUUGGGUAACACUAACUGGAGGACCGAACCGACUAAUGUUGAAAAAUUAGCGGAUGACUUGUGGCUGGGGGUGAAAGGCCAAUCAAACCGGGAGAUAGCUGGUUCUCCCCGAAAGCUAUUUAGGUAGCGCCUCGUGAAUUCAUCUCCGGGGGUAGAGCACUGUUUCGGCAAGGGGGUCAUCCCGACUUACCAACCCGAUGCAAACUGCGAAUACCGGAGAAUGUUAUCACGGGAGACACACGGCGGGUGCUAACGUCCGUCGUGAAGAGGGAAACAACCCAGACCGCCAGCUAAGGUCCCAAAGUCAUGGUUAAGUGGGAAACGAUGUGGGAAGGCCCAGACAGCCAGGAUGUUGGCUUAGAAGCAGCCAUCAUUUAAAGAAAGCGUAAUAGCUCACUGGUCGAGUCGGCCUGCGCGGAAGAUGUAACGGGGCUAAACCAUGCACCGAAGCUGCGGCAGCGACACUAUGUGUUGUUGGGUAGGGGAGCGUUCUGUAAGCCUGUGAAGGUGUACNNNNNNNNNNNNNNNNNNNNNNNNNNNNNNNNNNNNNNNNNNNNNNNNNNNNNNNNNNNNNNNNNNNNNNNNNNNNNNNNNNNNNNNNNNNNNNNUUUGCUGGAGGUAUCAGAAGUGCGAAUGCUGACAUAAGUAACGAUAAAGCGGGUGAAAAGCCCGCUCGCCGGAAGACCAAGGGUUCCUGUCCAACGUUAAUCGGGGCAGGGUGAGUCGACCCCUAAGGCGAGGCCGAAAGGCGUAGUCGAUGGGAAACAGGUUAAUAUUCCUGUACUUGGUGUUACUGCGAAGGGGGGACGGAGAAGGCUAUGUUGGCCGGGCGACGGUUGUCCCGGUUUAAGCGUGUAGGCUGGUUUUCCAGGCAAAUCCGGAAAAUCAAGGCUGAGGCGUGAUGACGAGGCACUACGGUGCUGAAGCGACAAAUGCCCUGCUUCCAGGAAAAGCCUCUAAGCAUCAGGUAACAUCAAAUCGUACCCCAAACCGACACAGGUGGUCAGGUAGAGAAUACCAAGGCGCUUGAGAGAACUCGGGUGAAGGAACUAGGCAAAAUGGUGCCGUAACUUCGGGAGAAGGCACGCUGAUAUGUAGGUGAAGCGACUUGCUCGUGGAGCUGAAAUCAGUCGAAGAUACCAGCUGGCUGCAACUGUUUAUUAAAAACACAGCACUGUGCAAACACGAAAGUGGACGUAUACGGUGUGACGCCUGCCCGGUGCCGGAAGGUUAAUUGAUGGGGUUAGCGGUAACGCGAAGCUCUUGAUCGAAGCCCCGGUAAACGGCGGCCGUAACUAUAACGGUCCUAAGGUAGCGAAAUUCCUUGUCGGGUAAGUUCCGACCUGCACGAAUGGCGUAAUGAUGGCCAGGCUGUCUCCACCCGAGACUCAGUGAAAUUGAACUCGCUGUGAAGAUGCAGUGUACCCGCGGCAAGACGGAAAGACCCCGUGAACCUUUACUAUAGCUUGACACUGAACAUUGAGCCUUGAUGUGUAGGAUAGGUGGGAGGCUUUGAAGUGUGGACGCCAGUCUGCAUGGAGCCGACCUUGAAAUACCACCCUUUAAUGUUUGAUGUUCUAACGUGGGCCCCUUACCGGGGUUGCGGACAGUGUCUGGUGGGUAGUUUGACUGGGGCGGUCUCCUCCUAAAGAGUAACGGAGGAGCACGAAGGUUGGCUAAUCCUGGUCGGACAUCAGGAGGUUAGUGCAAUGGCAUAAGCCAGCUUGACUGCGAGCGUGACGGCGCGAGCAGGUGCGAAAGCAGGUCAUAGUGAUCCGGUGGUUCUGAAUGGAAGGGCCAUCGCUCAACGGAUAAAAGGUACUCCGGGGAUAACAGGCUGAUACCGCCCAAGAGUUCAUAUCGACGGCGGUGUUUGGCACCUCGAUGUCGGCUCAUCACAUCCUGGGGCUGAAGUAGGUCCCAAGGGUAUGGCUGUUCGCCAUUUAAAGUGGUACGCGAGCUGGGUUUAGAACGUCGUGAGACAGUUCGGUCCCUAUCUGCCGUGGGCGCUGGAGAACUGAGGGGGGCUGCUCCUAGUACGAGAGGACCGGAGUGGACGCAUCACUGGUGUUCGGGUUGUCAUGCCAAUGGCACUGCCCGGUAGCUAAAUGCGGAAGAGAUAAGUGCUGAAAGCAUCUAAGCACGAAACUUGCCCCGAGAUGAGUUCUCCCUGACUCCUUGAGAGUCCUGAAGGAACGUUGAAGACGACGACGUUGAUAGGCCGGGUGUGUAAGCGCAGCGAUGCGUUGAGCUAACCGGUACUAAUGAACCGUGAGGCUUAACCUUACAACGCCGAAG
rnacentral:rRNA from 1 species